GAUGAACGCUGGCGGCGUGCCUAAUACAUGCAAGUCGAGCGAACAGACGAGGAGCUUGCUCCUCUGACGUUAGCGGCGGACGGGUGAGUAACACGUGGAUAACCUACCUAUAAGACUGGGAUAACUUCGGGAAACCGGAGCUAAUACCGGAUAAUAUAUUGAACCGCAUGGUUCAAUAGUGAAAGACGGUUUUGCUGUCACUUAUAGAUGGAUCCGCGCCGCAUUAGCUAGUUGGUAAGGUAACGGCUUACCAAGGCAACGAUGCGUAGCCGACCUGGGGGGGGAAUCGGCAAACCAGGAACUGGGAAACGGGCCCGAACCCAACGGGAGGCAGGAGUAGGGAAUCUUCCGCAAGGGGGGAAAGCCUGACGGAGCAACGCCGGGGGGGUGAUGAAGGUCUUCGGAUCGUAAAACUCUUUUAUUAGGGAAGAAAAAAUGUGUAAGUAACUAUGCACGUCUGGACGGUACCUAAUCAAAAAGCCCCGGCUAACUACGG
rnacentral:rRNA from 1 species